rnacentral:rRNA from 1 species
UACGUAGGGUGCAAGCGUUGUCCGGAAUUAUUGGGCGUAAAGAGCUCGUAGGCGGUCUGUCACGUCGGCUGUGAAAACCCGAGGCUCAACCUCGGGCCUGCAGUCGAUACGGGCAGACUAGAGUUCGGUAGGGGAGACUGGAACUCCUGGUGUAGCGGUGGAAUGCGCAGAUAUCAGGAAGAACACCGAUGGCGAAGGCAGAUCUCUGGGCCGUAACUGACGCUGAGGAGCGAAAGCAUGGGGAGCGAACAGG